rnacentral:lncRNA from 1 species
GGGCAAGAGACUACGACAUUUCUUGUGGAAUCAUAAAUCACAUCGUGAGUGUGGUCUAGGACUAAUGAACAAUUCACCUGUGGUCCUCCAUCCUGGCACCUAAGAGGUUUUGUGAUCCUGUAUAUCCCGGUAUGUGUAAGGCCAUGGACAAAACCAGUACUGGUUCCCUUGAAGAACUCUGUGGGUAAAAGCACUGGAUACUUCCACAUGCAAGGCCCAGCCAGCUACACAGCAACAAGAAAGAAAUCCCUGGGAGGAACAAACAGUCCAUCGCUCAGAGCCACAUCCCAGUGA